rnacentral:lncRNA from 1 species
UGCUUUUCAUGAAAUUUAACUUCCUUGGGUUAAUCUCUGUCCCAUUUUUUUCCUUUGCGGUUAUUCUCUCCACCACCACCCCCCCCCCCACACACACACACACACACACACACAUCUGUUAGGUAGCAAGACAGGAAGGUCAAUGAGGAUGGUGCUUUUACUCUCUGCACCUUUUGGUUAGUAGUCUAACUUUCAUCGGUUGCUGGAAGGGUGGGUGGGUGGAUGGACAGACAUAAGAGCAGUCUCCCACUCUCUUUCUCCUUCUUUCCCCUCUCUCACAGUGAGUGGACACAGGCCCUCCCCUUGCAUCCUCCUCCCUGUUUACUUCCAUGAUUUCUGCUCUGUCGCGAAAUACAGCAGGGCCUUUUGGUACCAGAAGGCUUAGUGCUGUGUGAGUGUAAGAGCUAUGAAUCUCUCACUCUGGGAUUCACUGGAGGUUUCUACUUGUUUGCUUUGGGGGUUCUGUUGUUGAGGUUGUUUUUAAGAGAUGUUUUUGUACAUAGAAUUAAUGGUCCUUGUCCUCCUUUUGGUUUUUUGUUUUUGUUUUUUUCAGUAGGAAAUGAAUUAGGUGGUAGCCAUUGUGCUAAUUAUCUGGAUUCCCUCAACCUUACCGUAUUUUUUUAAACUAUGCACUGACUGUUUUCCCCCAUUUUAUUCUGAAAAGACUUAAUUUUAGAAAGUGUUCAGUGAUUACUGUCCAUAGUGGCACUGCCUUUAGUCAGGACGUAAGAUGCAGAGGCAUGCAGUUCAAGGCCACCCUGGUCUUCAUACAGAGUCCCAGUUCAGCCAUAGCUACGUAGUUAAGAGAGAUCCUACGUUUAAAAAGAAAAAGUGUGGCAGGAGAGAUGGCUCAGAGGUAAAAAGCACUGGCUGCUCUUCCAGAGGUCCCAGGUGUGAGUCCCAGCAGUCACGUGGCAGCUCACAGUCACAGGGAAUCUGAUGCCCACACAGGCAGAUGUGCAGGCAAAACACCGAUGCACAUGAAAUAGAAAUAAAUGUGAGGAGGAGGGGGAGAAGGGAGAGGAGGAGAAAUAGUGUUCCGUGAGUAUCCUCCUGGACUUGGAGGGCACUGCACUCACGUGCACAGGAACACGUAUGCAAAUAAAUGAGGAAAAGAAAUGCUGUGAAGUCCAAUAAAAAUAAAGUUGGGCAAUUUUUAGUGUUGUCCACAAUUCUUUAAGGACAACUCCUUAUAUUAGAAUUAUAAAUCAUAAGAGUGUAUGACUAAUGAAGAAUCCUUGAGAACUGUACAGAUCCAUUUAAAAGCCUAAAGUCCGGUGAGCAGUGUAGAAACCAUGGCGAAUCCAAAGUCUCUCGGAAGGACAGCCUCCGAUUAUCUACCGGUGAUGGCUGUUGAAACAGGAUCAUUUGAGUUCCUUUAUAAAUUCUAUAUUUAAUGAACCAUGAGGCACUAUCUAUGUCAUCUUACCGUGCUGUAUUGCUCUCAGAGUUGCUAAUUUAUGUCUUCCAUGAUCAUUUUUUCCCUAGCUGUCUCAUUGAUUGUAGAAUAAUGGCAGGGGUCUUUGUGAACAAGCGAACAGUCAGUGGACUGACACCCCAGUCCCUCCUUAAACCAUUAGUUAUAUGACCUUACAAGAGUUGAGUAACUUUUUCUGAGUUUUAAUUUGACUUGCAGAUGACAAGGCUGAUAUAUCACAGUAUUUUUAGCUACGGAUCACUGUUUCAAUGGGAAGUAAUUUGGAAACCUAAGGCAUGCCCAAAUAACAGUAGAACUGCUAUGGUUGGGCUGAGGCCACUAUUGCAAGAAAACAUAGUCUCAUAUUUGAUCCAGAUAAGCCUAGAGAUUCCCAUAGAGCAAGCAGCACCAUCGGCGGCUCUUAGGCAGCCACCACAGCCCUGCCGUGUUGAUAGUUCCAGGAGGACUUUUCCUGCCAUCUUAUGAAGAUUAUCAUAUCUUGGCAAUGAACAAUGGAUGGAUUUGGUUGAAGCUGGUUUUUUUUUUUUUUUUUUUUAGCCAUUUGUUUUCUGUAAAAAAAAAAAAAAAAAAAAAAUCACCUAGAGGACUUUGGAAAUGCAGGAUGCUGUUUCCUAUCACAAAAGUUUAAAUUUCAUUCGGCUACAUAAUCUCAUUUUAAAAAUAACUUCAAAUCAUAUAAUUUAGCAAUGUCUAUAAGGCAAUAUCUAGGUAAUACGUUUUCUGAAAAAUAUUUAAUUGGCCUCCAAAACUUUGAGUGUCAUGAAGUGAAAAGCUGGUUUGCUAGGUUUUCUGUCAAAUGUCAAGAGUGUGUGCUGGCUUUCUGUGCUACUGUUUUGAGUAGGUUGAGACUAACACAGCCACAGUCAGCAAUAAAGAAAUUAUUCAUGUCUAAGAACACCUUCUCUCUAUGACAUUCUGGCAGCACCUAAGAGGAAAAUGUCAGAGGCAAAGUAAGUACGUUUACUGACAGUCUUGUUCUUUCCUAUGUUCCUGAAAGUGAUAUAAAAUCUGCCUUUUACCAAAAGUAAAAACACUGGUCACUCACAGUGAUAAACAAUAGCUUUUGGCUUAGUCGUUUUCCAUUUAUAAAGCGAUACUU